GAUGAACGCUGGCGGCGUGCCUAAUACAUGCAAGUCGAGCGAACGGACGAGAAGCUUGCUUCUCUGAUGUUAGCGGCGGACGGGUGAGUAACACGUGGAUAACCUACCUAUAAGACUGGGAUAACUUCGGGAAACCGGAGCUAAUACCGGAUGAUAUUUUGAACCGCAUGGUUCAAAAGUGAAAGACGGUCUUGCUGUCACUUAUAGAUGGAUCCGCGCUGCAUUAGCUAGUUGGUAAGGUAACGGCUUACCAAGGCAACGAUGCAUAGCCGACCUGAGAGGGUGAUCGGCCACACUGGAACUGAGACACGGUCCAGACUCCUACGGGAGGCAGCAGUAGGGAAUCUUCCGCAAAGGGCGAAAGCCUGACGGAGCAACGCCGCGUGAGUGAUGAAGAUCUUCGUAUCGUAAAACUCUGUUAUUAGGGAAGAACAUAUGUGUAAGUAACUGUGCACAUCUUGACGGUACCUAAUCAGAAAGCCACGGCUAACUACGUG
rnacentral:rRNA from 1 species